AUGAGCUGCCGCGCGGCUCCAUGGGGCCGCCCGUCGGCCCCCCGCGGCCGGCCCUUCCCCGCCUCGGCGCGCCUCCGCGGCCCGUUCGGGGGUACGAAUUCGUGGAAGAAUCCAGUCCUCAAAAACUCGUGGAGAAUCGGUGAUGUCCCGGCAAUGUUUGGGCUGCCGUCUGGACUGUUCAGAUGCAUGGCUUCAAGUAGCUCCGGGGAUGGUGGGUUCUCUCGUCCUCAAUCAAUUGAUGAAGCACCGAUUCCGCUGUACCCCUGGCCGGACAAGCAGCGGCCACGAGUAUGCAUUUUGGGUGGUGGAUUUGGUGGGCUGUAUACUGCUCUGAGACUAGAAUCUCUUGUAUGGCCUGGUAAUAACAAGCCUCAGGUGAUGCUGGUUGAUCAAUCUGAAAGAUUUGUAUUUAAGCCCAUGUUGUAUGAGCUCUUAUCAGGAGAGGUGGAUGUCUGGGAAAUAGCUCCGUAUUUUACAGAGCUACUGAAGAACACUAGUGUUCAAUUUGUGAAGGAUAGUGUAAAGCUUCUUCGCCCUUCUGAUCACUUAAGAAGAGAGCCUGGAGUAUCAUGCACUGGUGGAGUUGUUCAUCUUGAAAGUGGCACCGUUGUUGAAUAUGAUUGGCUCGUUCUAGCUCUAGGGGCUGAAGCUAAGAUUGACGUCGUUCCAGGAUCUGCCGAAUAUGCACUUCCUUUCACAACUUUGGAACAUGCUUUGAAAGUUGAAAGUGAAUUGAAAAUGUUAGAAAGGAGAAAGUUUGGUAAGAAGUCCCCACCUAUUCAGGUGGCCAUUGUGGGACUGGGUUACUCUGGUGUUGAGCUAGCUGCCACUAUCUCUGAGAGAUUAAAGAACACAGGGACUGUCAAAGCAAUCAAUUUUCAAACAACCAUCUGUCCUAACGCACCACCAGGAAAUCGUGAAGCUGCUCUGAAGGUUCUUGAGUCUCAAAAUAUCCAACUUUUCUUGGGAUAUUCGGUGAACUGCAUCAGAGAGGUUUAUGCAUCUGAGGAUUCAGGUAGCAUGGUUGCAGAUGCAAAAGAAGCUGGUGGUGGCGAUAAGAAACUAGUUUUGGAACUUCAAGCCGCUCAAAGAGGCCUCCAGAGCCAGGUUCUGGAAGCUGAUCUGGUAUUAUGGACAGUGGGUUCACAAUCUCAGAUUCUUCGGUUACAACCUCCUGAUGCCCCAUACGUUAUUCCUUUGAAUGGCCGGGGGCAAGUAGAGACAGAGGAAACCCUUCAAGUAAAGGGCCAUCCCCGGACAUUUGCAAUUGGUGAUUCAGCAGCUCUAAGAGACCCAUCAGGAAAAUUUCUCCCAGCCAACGCACAGGUUGCUUUUCAGCAAGCAGAUUUCGCUGGUUGGAAUCUCUGGGCGGCAAUCAAUGACCGGCCCCUUUUGCCGUUCAGGUUCCAAAAUCUUGGUGAGAUGAUGACACUGGGUAGAAACGAUGCCGCGAUAACAGCAAACUUCAUCGAGGGACUGACCUUGGAAGGGCCCAUAGGGCAUGCUGCUAGGAAGCUAGUGUACUGCCUCAGGAUGCCCACUGAUGAGCACCGGGUGAAGGUUGGAGUCAGUUGGUUGGCAAAGGGCGCUGUCGAUUCGCUCGCCUCUCUGCAGAACGCAGUGGCCACCGCACUUUCCCCUCCCACCGCUCCCCCCACCACCGCCGCCGACGCCAACGCCACCAACCGCCGCGCCAUGGAUCCCGACUCCGAGAUCGCCUUCGACUUCCCGCCCUACCUCUGCCAGUACAAGAGCGGCCGCGUGCACCGCCCGGGCGGCGACGCCUUCGCCCCCGCCGGCACCGACCCGCUCACCGGCGUCGUCUCCAAGGACAUCCACGCCGGCCCCGCCCGCGCGCGCGUCUACCUCCCGCCCGACGCCUCCUCCGCCGCGGCCCCCGGCAAGCUCCCCGUCGUCGUCUACUUCCACGGCGGCGGCUUCGUGGUCGGCUCCCCGGCCCGCCCCUCCACCCACGCCUACCUCAACGACCUCGUCGCCCGCUCCGGCGCCGUCGGCGUGUCCGUCUACUACCGCCUCGCCCCCGAGCACCCGCUCCCCGCCGCCUACGACGACGGCUGGGCGGCCGUGCGCUGGGUCCUCACCGGCGGGGACGGCGCCGACCCCUGGCUGCUCGACCACGCCGACCUCUCCCGCGUCUUCCUCUCCGGCUGCAGCGCCGGCGCCAACAUCGCGCACAACAUGGCCGUCCGCGCCGCCGCGCCCGGCGCGCUGCCCGAGGGCGCCGCCGUCCGGGGCCUCAUGGCCGUGCACCCCUACUUCACGGGCAAGGAGCCCGUGGGCGCGGAGGCCGCGUUCGGCCCCGACGUGCGCGACUUCAUGGACCGCACCUGGCGCUUCGUGUUCCCGGGCUCGCUCGGCCUGGACGACCCCAACGUGAACCCGUUCGUGACCGACGAGGCGCGCGCCGCCGUGGCCGGGAUCCCGUGCGAGCGCGUGCUGGUGUGCGUGGCCGAGGACGACGUCCUGCUCAAGGAGCGCGGCCUGUGGUACGCCCGCGAGCUCAAGGCCAGCGGCUACGCCGGCGAGAUCGAGAUGUUCGAGUCCAAGGGCGUCGGCCACGCCUUCCACUUCGACCAGCUGGGCUCCGGGGAGGGCGUCAAGCUGCAGGAGCGCCUGGUGAAAUUCAUCAAGAAAUGA
rnacentral:rRNA from 1 species